rnacentral:lncRNA from 1 species
GUGGAAUUAAGCUAAACUCCUUCUGGUUUUUAUUUAAGUCUUAGCUAUCAUGUGGCCCCAUGGCAUCGGCCCAGGGAGUGAUGAGAUGCCUCUGUACCAAGGAAUCUUCGGUUUCUUCCACUAGCUCUUAUCUAAGAGCCUUUUACCUACACAUGUACUACGUUUGUUUACAGACUGUAGGUGGAUAUGAUUUAAAAGCUUGAUUUAAUAAAAAUUGAAUCCCCCCAAACCUGUGCUACUGAUCCUAUUUUUUUUAAAUCAGCUUAUGUGAUGGUUUUAUUUGUUUAGGUAGUCUCUUUUAUUUCUCUCCCCAAAUUGUGUUACCUUGACAACAAUAAAAAGGCAAAUUUUAAAA